rnacentral:rRNA from 1 species
CCUACGGGUGGCAGCAGUGAGGAAUAUUGGUCAAUGGACGCAAGUCUGAACCAGCCAUGCCGCGUGCAGGAAGACGGCUCUAUGAGUUGUAAACUGCUUUUGUACGAGGGUAAACUCAGAUACGCGUAUCUGUCUGAAUGUAUCGUACGAAUAAGGAUCGGCUAACUCCGUGCCAGCAGCCGCGGUAAUACGGAGGAUUCAAGCGUUAUCCGGAUUUAUUGGGUUUAAAGGGUGCGUAGGCGGUCGGAUAAGUUAGAGGUGAAAUCCCGAGGCUCAACUUCGGAAUUGCCGCUGAUACUGUUAGGCUAGAGAGUAGUUGAGGUAGGCGGAAUGUAUGGUGUAGCGGUGAAAUGCUUAGAGAUCAUACAGAACACCGAUUGCGAAGGCAGCUUACCAAGCUACGUCUGACGUUGAGGCACGAAAGCGUGGGGAGCAAACAGGAUUAGAUACCCGUGUAGUC